UUAUGGCCACAUCAGACUGAAAAAAUGGUUCCCAUAAAAUCGCUGAAGUUAAGCAAUGUCGAGCCUGGUCAGUACCUAGAUGAGUGACUGCUCGAGAAUACCAGGUGCUAUA